UGCAGUCGAGGGGUAACGGGGAAGCUUGCUUCCGCCGACGACCGGCGCACGGGUGCGGAACGCGUAUGGAACCUGCCCCUGUCAGGGGAAUAGCCCAGAGAAAUUUGGAUUAAUGCCCCAUGGUAUCCAUUUACCACAUGGUAUAUGGAUUAAAGAUUUAUCGGACAGGGAUGGCCAUGCGUACCAUUAGUCAGAUGGUGGGGUAACGGCUCACCAUAACUACGAUGGUUAGGGGCCCUGAGAGGGGGAUCCCCCACACUGGUACUGAGACACGGACCAGACUCCUACGGGAGGCAGCAGUGAGGAAUAUUGGACAAUGGGCGGGAGCCUGAUCCAGCCAUGCCGCGUGCAGGAUGACUGCCCUAUGGGUUGUAAACUGCUUUUAUACGGGAAGAAACCCGCCUACGUGUAGGCGGCUGACGGUACCGUAAGAAUAAGGACCGGCUAACUCCGUGCCAGCAGCCGCGGUAAUACGGAGGGUCCGAGCGUUAUCCGGAAUCAUUGGGUUUAAAGGGUCCGUAGGCGGGCCAUUAAGUCAGGGGUGAAAGUCUGCAGCUCAACUGUAGAAUUGCCUUUGAUACUGGUGGUCUUGAGUCGUUGUGGAGUGGCCGGAACAUGUGGUGUAGCGGUGAAAUGCAUAGAUAUCACAUAGAACACCGAUCGCGAAGGCAGGUCACUAACAACGUACUGACGCUGAUGGACGAAAGCGUGGGUAGCGAACGG
rnacentral:rRNA from 1 species